rfam:Metarhizium anisopliae BRIP 53293 unplaced genomic scaffold Scaffold_2, whole genome shotgun sequence.
GGGCGGAUGGUUUAGUGGUAUAAUACUCCCUUAGCAAGAUUCAUUUACUGGAUUAUUGGGAGUGGUCCGGGGUUCGAUUCCCCGUUCGUCCA